rnacentral:lncRNA from 1 species
AUGUGCUGGUCCUGUAGGGAAUACACCAUGACAGAUGGGGAGGAGAGAGGACUUACCUUAAUAAAAAGACAGAAGACGACGCAGGAGGACCAGGAUAAUAAGCAUAGAGAAUCCCUAUGCUUAUUUAAUAUCACUGACAUUAUAGAUAUUACACCUGUGUUAAUCAAUCAGAUCUGUAUUGACCUCAAAAUGGGAGGAGGACUUAAUGCAUUAAAGAAUAGACUGACCACACUGAAGACGAGCCUGGAGGGCCAGCUCUCCCAGAUCUGGAUUGACCUCCAAAGGCAACAACUUACUGCAUUAAAGAAUAGACUGACCAUACUGAAUACGAGCCUGGAAGGCCAGCUCUCCCAGAUCUGGAUUGACCCCAAAAUGGUAGAACAACUUGCUGCAUUAAUGAAUACACUGAACACACUGAAGAUGAGGCUGGAGGGCCAGCUCUCCCAGAUCUGGAUUGACCUCCAAACGGAAAAACUUGCUGCAUUAAAGAAUAGACUGACGAUUAGCCAGGAGGACCAGGUACUGAACCCCUCAUCACUUUAA